UCCAGUUCCGUUGGGAUUUCAAAGGCUGCC
rnacentral:piRNA from 1 species